AGUGAACGCUGGCGGUAGGCCUAACACAUGCAAGUCGAACGGCAGCACAGUAAGAGCUUGCUCUUACGGGUGGCGAGUGGCGGACGGGUGAGGAAUACAUCGGAAUCUACUUUUUCGUGGGGGAUAACGUAGGGAAACUUACGCUAAUACCGCAUACGACCUACGGGUGAAAGCAGGGGAUCUUCGGACCUUGCGCGAUUGAAUGAGCCGAUGUCGGAUUAGCUAGUUGGCGGGGUAUAGGCCCACCAAGGCGACGAUCCGUAGCUGGUCUGAGAGGAGGACCGGAGUCAUGGGGACUGCGAGACGGACCAGUGGCGGACGGGAGACAGCGGUGGUGAAUCUUGCACAACGGUAGGAAGCGUGAGACAGCAACGCUGCGUGUGGGAUGACGGUCUGCGGGGAGUAAAAAGCUGCCGCCUGUGACGAAGCGUGAGUGACGGUAAUGGGAGAAGAAGCACCGGCUAACUACGUG
rnacentral:rRNA from 1 species